AAGACUAUAGACCUGCGGAGUACCUGCGGAGGGAUCAUUACAUGGCGGAGGAGGUGGGCACCUAGUAAAAACAAAACCCUAGGUGUGUUGCCUACCACGCUUUCUACCCUUGUCUAUUUGCACCUUUUGUCGUUCCCUCGGUGGGUCUUGAACCUGCCGGCGGCAACUUUCAAAAACCUUUUGUAGUUAGUAUCUAAUUCUUCUGAUCAAAUAUUCAAUCGUUACAACUUUCAGCAACGG
rnacentral:misc_RNA from 1 species